rnacentral:rRNA from 1 species
CGUGCUUAACACAUGCAAGUCGAACGGAAAGGCCCUGCUUUUGUGGGGUGCUCGAGUGGCGAACGGGUGAGUAACACGUGAGUAACCUGCCCUUGACUUUGGGAUAACUUCAGGAAACUGGGGCUAAUACCGGAUAGGAGCUCCUGCUGCAUGGUGGGGGUUGGAAAGUUUCGGCGGUUGGGGAUGGACUCGCGGCUUAUCAGCUUGUUGGUGGGGUAGUGGCUUACCAAGGCUUUGACGGGUAGCCGGCCUGAGAGGGUGACCGGCCACAUUGGGACUGAGAUACGGCCCAGACUCCUACGGGAGGCAGCAGUGGGGAAUAUUGCACAAUGGGCGGAAGCCUGAUGUAGCAACGCCGCGUGCGGGAUGACGGCCUUCGGGUUGUAAACCGCUUUCGCCUGUGACGAAGCGUGAGUGACGGUAAUGGGUAAAGAAGCACCGGCUAACUACGUGCCAGCAGCCGCGGUGAUACGUAGGGUGCGAGCGUUGUCCGGAUUUAUUGGGCGUAAAGGGCUCGUAGGUGGUUGAUCGCGUCGGAAGUGUAAUCUUGGGGCUUAACCCUGAGCGUGCUUUCGAUACGGGUUGACUUGAGGAAGGUAGGGGAGAAUGGAAUUCCUGGUGGAGCGGUGGAAUGCGCAGAUAUCAGGAGGAACACCAGUGGCGAAGGCGGUUCUCUGGGCCUUUCCUGACGCUGAGGAGCGAAAGCGUGGGGAGCGAACAGGCUUAGAUACCCUGGUAGUCCACGCUGUAAACGGUGGGUACUAGGUGUGGGGUCCAUUCCACGGGUUCCGUGCCGUAGCUAACGCUUUAAGUACCCCGCCUGGGGAGUACGGCCGCAAGGCUAAAACUCAAAGGAAUUGACGGGGCCCCGCACAAGCGGCGGAGCAUGCGGAUUAAUUCGAUGCAACGCGUAGAACCUUACCUGGGUUUGACAUGGAUCGGGAGUGCUCAGAGAUGGGUGUGCCUCUUUUGGGGUCGGUUCACAGGUGGUGCAUGGCUGUCGUCAGCUCGUGUCGUGAGAUGUUGGGUUAAGUCCCGCAACGAGCGCAACCCUUGUUCACUGUUGCCAGCACGUUAUGGUGGGGACUCAGUGGAGACCGCCGGGGUCAACUCGGAGGAAGGUGGGGAUGACGUCAAGUCAUCAUGCCCCUUAUGUCCAGGGCUUCACGCAUGCUACAAUGGCUGGUACAGAGAGUGGCGAGCCUGUGAGGGUGAGCGAAUCUCGGAAAGCCGGUCUCAGUUCGGAUUGGGGUCUGCAACUCGACCUCAUGAAGUCGGAGUCGCUAGUAAUCGCAGAUCAGCAACGCUGCGGUGAAUACGUUCCCGGGGCUUGUACACACCGCCCGUCAAGUCAUGAAAGUUGGUAACACCCGAAGCCGGUGGCCUAACCGUUGUGGGGGAGCCGUCGAAGGUGGGACUGGUGAUUAGGACUAAGUCAUAAC